GGGCCGUUAGCUCAAUUUGGCUAGAGCGCCACAUUCGCAUUGUGGAGGUUGUCGGUUCAAGUCCGAUACGGUCCACCA
rnacentral:tRNA from 1 species